UAAGCUCGUGAACAACAGGCAGG
rnacentral:miRNA from 1 species